UAAGUCAGGGUCUCACAGUUACAGG
rnacentral:piRNA from 1 species